rnacentral:rRNA from 1 species
CCUACGGGGGGCUGCAGUGGGGAAUAUUGGACAAUGGGGGCAACCCUGAUCCAGCAAUGCCGCGUGUGUGAAGAAGGCCUGCGGGUUGUAAAGCACUUUCAGUAGGGAAGAAAAGCUCGGGGCUAAUACCUCCGGGUCUUGACGUUACCUAAAGAAGAAGCACCGGCUAACUCCGUGCCAGCAGCCGCGGUAAUACGGAGGUUGCGGGCGUUAAUCGGAAGUAGGGGGCGUAACGCGCACGUUGUGAAAGCCCUGGGCUUAACCUGGGAACUGCAUUCGGUACUGCCCGGCUAGAGUAUGGGAGAGGGAAGCGGAAUUUCCGGUGUAGCGGUGAAAUGCGUAGAUAUCGGAAGGAACACCAAUGGCGAAGGCAGCUUCCUGGCCCAAUACUGACGCUGAGGUGCGAAAGCGUGGGGAUCAAACAGGAUUAGAUACCCGUGUAGUC